AAGGAGCUUGCCCACCAACAGUGAGAUGUGGGUAGCAACUUAGUCAUCUGUUCAAAAGAUUGACUAUCUUUUUUCACUAUCUUUGUGUUACCUUUGCCUUUAGUUCACACAGGUAUUGAAAAGAAAACCAAGGAACAUCCUCGUGUGGGGAAGCAUUGAAUAGAUCAGGCUGAGGGAAGUGGGAUCCAGCUGUACAUCCAGACUAUCGCGAUCCUGCUUAACCAAGGGGAACGUAAAAGCAUGGGAAUGGCUCAGUGGACACAGGGGACAGAAGUGGGCUGACCCUAGUGCAUAUUGGAGACUCAUGAGCAUGGAGGAGGUUUCUGUUCUUUUGCUUAAAGUUUUCCCAAGCAGCCUGAGGCUGUAAUGAAGCUCAGAGGAGCCCAGAGGCCUGAUAGAACCUCUCCCACAACGAAUUCCCACAAAUUUAAGAAAGGUAGCUUGGGAGGCAAUUAAGGACUGAUUUUUCAGUCUUACUGCUUUUGGUACAAAAUGUGGAUUUUUCUGCUUCUGUUACUGCUGUUUCUUUUAAAGCACAGAUCCGAAGGAUACAAAGCACUUCAAGCUUUUACAUCAGGCUUUUACUUUUAAAUCACCAGAGGAGGAAAUAAAGCCCAGAUGAUGGUUCACGUAUUCACCUGGCAGCAGCAGCACAAGAAAUUAGGUCUGCAGUUUUCAUCACCUUCCUGACAUUGUAUGUGACCCAAGAAAGAAGAGAAUUCUGCAGUCUUCCUCUUUUCUAUCCUCAAACUCUUCAUUGUAUGUGGCAACAUGGGCUCAUUAAUGAGAAUUUGUGGCUUUGGUCUUUCAAAAGCAACAAUGAGGUAACAAACUUCAUGCAUUUAGAGUAACAAGGUUGAUGAACAUGACUUCUUAGCAAAUUGUCAAGAAUAUGUAGUUCAAUAAUCUCAACACUGCCGUAAUCUAAACAAGACUAUGAAAUUCUGAAGGCAUAUGGAAAACCACUUUUAUGCUUUCAUAUCACAGUGGUUGUCCAGACACAGUCACCUCCUACUGAAAAUCUCCAUCCAGGUUAAGCCUUGAUCUUCCCUGCUUCUUCCUUAACUUUCUAGGCAGUUACCAGAUCUUCCCUGGACACAGAAUAGUACUACCCUGGCACCAGUUCUUUGAACAGCCCCAUCCUGAGAGCUUGGAAAGUGGAGACCCAAGUCCUAGAAAAUAAGUACAAGACUGAGAGUCUAAAGCCUGUGUGGACUCUCAGCUCUGCUAUUAAAAUCGCUCUGUGACCCUUUGCUGGUCACUUAACCUACUGUGCUGCUAUUUGCUCAUCUGUAAAAUUGCUCUCCCUCAUAGGCUCUUUGUGAGGAUAAAAGAAAAUAAUAGGUGGCAAAGUGCAGUGAAUGGUAAAAGUCUAAUACUAAAUCAAAGUAUUAUCAUUUUAGAAAUUUAUCCCUGAGUAGUGCUGACAUCGACAUACAGAAGUUGAAGCUGCAAUUAGGGGCCUGCUUCAUCUUUAACCCACCAAUAGUUAAGAAUAGUUUCAGCAGUGACCCAAUUUCAGGCACCCUAUGGCUACUUGAAACUCCCCCUUCUUAUUCUUAGUAUAAGUAUAGCAGUUCAGAAAUUAUUCUAG
ensembl:lncRNA